rnacentral:lncRNA from 1 species
UUUUCAACAAUGGGUGGCUCCUUACAAUUUUCGGCACAGCAGCUUCCAGCUCCUCAAUGCUGACUGAGAGAGAACACGGCAGAGAAAAUAAACGCAUCACUAGUUCAGAUUCUUCACAAGCAAAUACUAGCAUGUUUUACCAGAUAACUCUUGCCCUUUAGCUAACAGUGCCCCUAGUAACGACAAUCAGAUACGAGCCUUCGGUAGAGCACUAAGUCUAGAAACAGCUGGAGAAGCACUGGAUUUCUUACAAGAGACAAUGUAUGUAUAUGUAUGUAUUUGUGUAUCCUUUCACACAGCGUGACAGUGACAAGGAUGAAACAGCACCAGGAUAAUCACACACACACAUAUAUAUAGGCGGGCCGCAGUAUGUUGGCUGAGAAUUUGGCACAUUGCAAGUUUACUCCCUUAACUUGGCAUGAUAUUUCAUCUAGCUCCCUUAACUCCAAAGUGUGCAUCAACUCCAACUCCAUGUACGGUCUCAAGGUAAACAAUCUAGGCCACAACAAGCUUACAUGAACCAUCCCACUGGAGAUCGGCAACCUUGUGAGUCUUCAACAGCCUGCACACUGGAAACAAUACAGGGGGAAGAAAUACCACCUCGCAUAAAGAUUUCCUAGUGAACAACUAGUCAGUUAAGUCGAGCCAUCGAGAACCUGCUUAGUUUGUUGUUUGAGAUAAACCUGAACAUGCCUUUCAGUUUUUUCUCUUACGGCUUUGCCCGCUUUUCCCACUCUAUGUGCCCUUGUAUGCAUAGUUCUAUUUCUUCUUAGUCUGCAAACAGAAACGGUAAUGCAUCUUUUUCCUUUGCAUAAGAGUGACAGAGGGGGAAAAUAGCACAACAAAAAUAGUCAGAUGUUGAUGACAUGCAAGUCACAAUGCAUUGACAAGAGAAUUGACCAGUGAAAGCUACUUUCUUGAUUAGCUUAUGUAUCCUCAGUUUGACAGUACACUUGGAAACGGGGACAAGUAGCGUUCACAAAAGAAAAGACACAAGAGACAACCGAUACUAAUUAAGUUCAAGAACUGAAGAAGACCUCUUUGACGAGACAAUGCAAAUCAGUUUCCAAGAAACUUCCUGCAUGAAUUAUUGAGCAACUUGCCUUGCACCCAUCAAUCUAUAUAACAUAGAGAAGAACAGUACACUUGUCUACUGGAAUCAGAAAGAAGGGAGCAAAAACAGCCUUGGUAAAAAUAUGGUAGCUGCAGGUUUCCCCAUGCUUGUUCUUCU